rnacentral:rRNA from 1 species
CGGCGAGUGAAGCGGCAACAGCUCAAAUUUGAAAUCUGGCCCUCGUGGUCCGAGUUGUAAUUUGUAGAGGAUGCUUUUGGUGCGGUGCCUUCCGAGUUCCCUGGAACGGGACGCCAGAGAGGGUGAGAGCCCCGUACGGUUGGACACCUACCCUAUAUAUAGCUCCUUCGACGAGUCGAGUAGUUUGGGAAUGCUGCUCUAAAUGGGAGGUAAAUUUCUUCUAAAGCUAAAUACCGGCCAGAGACCGAUAGCGCACAAGUAGAGUGAUCGAAAGAUGAAAAGCACUUUGAAAAGAGGGUUAAAUAGCACGUGAAAUUGUUGAAAGGGAAGCGUUUGCGACCAGACCUUUUCCCGGCGGAUCAUCUGGUGUUCUCACCGGUGCACUUCGCUUGGUUUAGGCCAGCAUCGGUUUCUUUAGGGGGAUAAAGGUGUUGGGAACGUAGCUCUUUCGGGAGUGUUAUAGCCCUUCACGUAAUACCCUUCGAGGGACCGAGGACCGCGCAUUGCAAGGAUGCUGGCGUAAUGGUCGUCAACGACCCGUCUUGAAACACGGACCAAGGAGUCGAACAUUUGUGCGAGUGUUUGGGUGUUAAACCCUCACGCGUAAUGAAAGUGAACGGAGGUGAGAGCCCUUACGGGUGCAUCAUCGACCGAUCCUGAUGUCUUCGGAUGGAUUUGAGUAAGAGCAUAACUGUUCGGACCCGAAAGAUGGUGAACUAUGCGUGGAUAGGGUGAAGCCAGAGGAAACUCUGGUGGAGGCUCGCAGCGGUUCUGACGUGCAAAUCGAUCGUCAAAUCUGCGCAUGGGGGCGAAAGACUUAUCGAACCAUCUAGUAGCUGGUUACCGCCGAAGUUUCCCUCAGGAUAGCAGUGUUGUAUUCAGUUUUAUGAGGUAAAGCGAAUGAUUAGGGACUCGGGGGCGCUUUAUUGCCUUCAUCCAUUCUCAAACUUUAAAUAUGUAAGAAGCCCUUGU